CGUUAUCAGACUUUUUGUGCGAGCUUUGAACCAUCCGUCUCUGAAGAAGAGCACAGUGGAAAAGGGUGAAAGA